rnacentral:tRNA from 1 species
GCUGUAGCUCAGGUGGUAGAGUGCUUGCCUUGAGUGCAAGAGCCAAUUUAGUGCCCAGAUCCUGAGUUCAAGCCUCAGUAUCAGCA